rnacentral:tRNA from 1 species
GCCGGGGUGGCUGAGUGGACUAAAGCGCGGGCCUUGAGAGCCCGUGGGCCCUUGGGGCCCGCAUGGGUUCAAAUCCCAUCCCCGGCG